ACUUGGAGGUCAUGCUCUUUUUGUCUUAUAAGUUAGGCUAACAUGGAGAUAUUAAAACUAUGAGCUCUUCUUUAUGUCUUAUAAGCUUAAAAAUAAAAACCUUAGUAAUAAGUUUCGUACUUGUUAAGUAAAACUUUUGUAUUAUGCAAUUGAAUGUCAAUUCCUGGAUCUUGAGCUCAACAUAAAUUUUGUAUUCUUGAAUCUUGAUUGUUUCUCUUUGAAAGGGCGCAUGCGUUGUAGAGAUUAUACAAAUGACUGAUAUAUUGGAGGGCAGUAUCAUUAGAAGUGCUAGAAGAAUCGACGUGUUUUUGAACCAGACUUGUUUGAGUUCAAGUUAAGUGCUUUUGACUUAAUCACUUAACUUAACUGAACUUGUUUAGUUAACGACGUUAACUAAACCAAAAAAAAAAAAAACCUUUUGCACCAUCUAGAAUCUUUGAAGUUAGUAUUUAAGGAAAAAAAAACCUAGACGACUUUAGCAUAAUUUGCUUGACACAAAACUGAUCACAU